ACGAACGCUGGCGGCGUGGAUAAGACAUGCAAGUCGAACGGGAGAAUUGCUAGCUUGCUAAUAAUUCUCUAGUGGCGCACGGGUGAGUAACACGUGAGUAACCUGCCUCUUAGUGGGGGAUAGCCCUGGGAAACCGGGAUUAAUACCGCAUACGAUUGAAAGAUCAAAGCAGCAAUGCGCUAGGAGAUGGGCUCGCGGCCUAUUAGUUAGUUGGUGAGGUAACGGCUCACCAAGGCGAUGACGGGUAGCCGGUCUGAGAGGAUGUCCGGCCACACUGGAACUGAGACACGGUCCAGACACCUACGGGUGGCAGCAGUCGAGAAUCAUUCACAAUGGGGGCAACCCUGAUGGUGCGACGCCGCGUGGGGGAAUGAAGGUCUUCGGAUUGUAAACCCCUGUCAUGUGGGAGCAAAUUAAAAAGAUAGUACCACAAGAGGAAGAGACGGCUAACUCUGUGCCAGCAGCCGCGGUAAUACAGAGGUCUCAAGCGUUGUUCGGAAUCACUGGGCGUAAAGCGUGCGUAGGCUGUUUCGUAAGUCGUGUGUGAAAGGCAGGGGCUCAACCCCUGGAUUGCACAUGAUACUGCGAGACUAGAGUAAUGGAGGGGGAACCGGAAUUCUCGGUGUAGCAGUGAAAUGCGUAGAUAUCGAGAGGAACACUCGUGGCGAAGGCGGGUUCCUGGACAUUAACUGACGCUGAGGCACGAAGGCUAGGGGAGCGAAAGGGAUUAGAUACCCCUGUAGUCCUGGCAGUAAACGGUGCACGCUUGGUGUGCGGGGAAUCGACCCCCUGCGUGCCGGAGCUAACGCGUUAAGCGUGCCGCCUGGGGAGUACGGUCGCAAGAUUAAAACUCAAAGAAAUUGACGGGGACCCGCACAAGCGGUGGAGUAUGUGGCUUAAUUCGAUGCAACGCGAAGAACCUUACCUGGGCUUGACAUGUAAUGAACAACAUGUGAAAGCAUGCGACUCUUCGGAGGCGUUACACAGGUGCUGCAUGGCCGUCGUCAGCUCGUGUCGUGAGAUGUUUGGUUAAGUCCAGCAACGAGCGCAACCCCUGUUGCCAGUUACCAGCACGUCAAGGUGGGGACUCUGGCGAGACUGCCCAGAUCAACUGGGAGGAAGGUGGGGACGACGUCAGGUCAGUAUGGCCCUUAUGCCCAGGGCUGCACACGUACUACAAUGCCCAGUACAGAGGGGGCCGAAGCCGCGAGGCGGAGGAAAUCCUGAAAACUGGGCCCAGUUCGGACUGUAGGCUGCAACCCGCCUACACGAAGCCGGAAUCGCUAGUAAUGGCGCAUCAGCUACGGCGCCGUGAAUACGUUCCCGGGUCUUGUACACACCGCCCGUCACAUCAUGGAAGCCGGUCGCACCCGAAGUAUCUGAAGCCAACCGCAAGGAGGCAGGGUCCUAAGGUGAGACUGGUAACUGGGAUG
rnacentral:rRNA from 1 species